GGGGAUGAUAGGUCUCGACGGGGAAGGUUGAUCCUGGACUGCAAGCCGAGCACGCUUCUCAACUCGUAAAUCUGGAAGCAAACAAUUAAGUGCCAACAAUAAUGUUGCCUACAACGCUCUUCCGCUCGCUGCCUAAUUAAGCAACGAAAGGAUUAGCAACAGGUGUCCAAGGCGGACACCGCGUCUGUCUCAACUGCUCAUUGGCCGGGCGAGAACGGGCGUAACGCUAGCCAAUGUGCGCCGCCGCGACGCCGAUAGCGACGGGUAAGCGGCCCUUUCGGGGGUCAUCGACUAGCUGCGAAGGCAACCCGGCCGGGUGGGGGCCUCGCAGUGAAAACAAAUUACCGGGCUAAGCUUGUAGACGUUCAGAGGUCGAAUUUUUCGGACGCGGGUUCGAUUCCCGCCAUCUCCACCU
rnacentral:tmRNA from 1 species